rnacentral:rRNA from 1 species
AACGCUAGCUACAGGCUUAACACAUGCAAGUCGAGGGGCAGCAUGGUCUUAGCUUGCUAAGGCCGAUGGCGACCGGCGCACGGGUGAGUAACACGUAUCCAACCUGCCGUCUACUCUUGGACAGCCUUCUGAAAGGAAGAUUAAUACAAGAUGGCAUCAUGAGUCCGCAUGUUCACAUGAUUAAAGGUAUUCCGGUAGACGAUGGGGAUGCGUUCCAUUAGAUAGUAGGCGGGGUAACGGCCCACCUAGUCUUCGAUGGAUAGGGGUUCUGAGAGGAAGGUCCCCCACAUUGGAACUGAGACACGGUCCAAACUCCUACGGGAGGCAGCAGUGAGGAAUAUUGGUCAAUGGGCGAGAGCCUGAACCAGCCAAGUAGCGUGCAGGAAGACGGCCCUAUGGGUUGUAAACUGCUUUUAUACAGGAAUAAAGUUAGCCACGUGUGGUUAUCUGUAGGUACUGUAUGAAUAAGGACCGGCUAAUUCCGUGCCAGCAGCCGCGGUAAUACGGAAGGUCCAGGCGUUAUCCGGAUUUAUUGGGUUUAAAGGGAGCGUAGGCCGUCUGUUAAGCGUGUUGUGAAAUGUAGAUGCUCAACAUCUGAAUUGCAGCGCGAACUGGCAGACUUGAGUGUGCGCAACGUAGGCGGAAUUCGUGGUGUAGCGGUGAAAUGCUUAGAUAUCACGAAGAACUCCGAUUG